rnacentral:rRNA from 1 species
UACGUAGGGGGGCUAGCGUUGUCCGGAAUCAUUGGGCGUAAAGAGCGUGUAGGCGGCCCGGUAAGUCCGCUGUGAAAGUCGGGGGCUCAACCCUCGAAUGCCGGUGGAUACUGCCGGGCUAGAGUCCGGAAGAGGCGAGUGGAAUUCCUGGUGUAGCGGUGGAAUGCGCAGAUAUCAGGAGGAACACCAACGGCGAAGGCAGCUCGCUGGGACGGUACUGACGCUGAGGCGCGAAAGCGUGGGGAGCGAACAGG